UUGGAACCAGUCCAGUAUGGACUGAAACCUCCACAAACUGCUUUCCACAUAGACUGGUCAGCCCUGAAGUUCAGACUAUUCAGCCUUCCGGUGUAGACACUUCAGCCUCCUGAUGUAGAUGUCAAGGGUCUUCUGCAGUGAGCUCCAUGUCUUUCAACUUUGACUGGAUUGUUGGGCUCUCCAGUGUGUAGAUGGCCCUUCUGUACCGUCCUGCACCUUACACUUUGGGGACCAUGCAUUAAUGACAAAUGCCGAUUGAAACCUGCUAGUGGAGCUUAUCUUCACUGAAAUUUGCAUUUACAUGAUGUCCUAACCAAAAGUAACAGCUUCUUAAUCUUAGGACAGCUAUGCAGACUUCCAGCAGCAGAA